rnacentral:tRNA from 1 species
GCCUCGGUGGCUUAGCCUGGUAUAGCGGCUGACUUGUAAUCAGCAGGUCGGGGGUUCAAAGCCCCCCCGGGGCU